rnacentral:lncRNA from 1 species
CAGGGCUCAGUGAGGAGCCGGAGUGUCCCGGCCUGCCUGGACUCCAGCCGGGACCUCCCACAUGAGGCUCAUUCAUCUAUGCCCAGGAUUCUCAAAGAACCCCGGCCCCAGCCUGCUCUCUGUCAUGUGCUGAGCCCCAAGCUUACCCAUGCCUCCUGCCGUGGGGACCAGAGAAUGAGAAGACCACCAGGGAGACCCGCCCUGGAGACCAUGGUGUGCUGCUGACUCACGGAGCCAUUUGACAAGCUCUUGUUGAACAAAUGCUACACAUGAACACAUGGGCUGUGUCCUGAAGCUGGAUGUGCAGUCUUGAAGGAAUCCUACGCUUCAUGAAUGAGGAUUUGACAUCUGGCAGAGGUCUUUAUGAACACAUUUAUGAUCAUCCUUCAAAGCAACCACAUGAAAUGGGCCAGGGGCUUGUUCUCUUUUAGCAGACAGACGGGUUGAGUCACCACAAGAUGCUGUUAUGGUUUAA